rnacentral:rRNA from 1 species
GUGUCAGCAGCCGCGGUAAUACGGAGGAUCCGAGCGUUAUCCGGAUUUAUUGGGUUUAAAGGGUGCGUAGGCGGAAAAAUAAGUCAGUUGUGAAAGUUUGCGGCUCAACCGUAAAAUUGCAGUUGAUACUGUUUUUCUUGAGUGUACAUAAGGUAGGCGGAAUUCGUGGUGUAGCGGUGAAAUGCUUAGAUAUCACGAAGAACUCCAAUUGCGAAGGCAGCUUACCGGGGUACAACUGACGCUGAGGCACGAAAGUGUGGGUAUCAAACAGGAUUAGAAACCCUCGUAGUCC